rnacentral:rRNA from 1 species
AUACGUAGGUGACAAGCGUUAUCCGGAUUUACUGGGCGUAAAGGGCGUGUAGGCGGUCUUGCAAGUCAGAAGUGAAAUUCCUGAGCUCAACUCGGGCGCUGCUUCUGAAACUGCAGGACUUGAGUGCUGGAGGGGAUAGCGGAAUUCCUAGUGGAGCGGUAAAAUGCGCAGAUAUUAGGAAGAACACCGGUGGCGAAGGCGGCUUUCUGGACAGUAACGGACGCUGAGGCGCGAAAGCGUGGGGAGCAAACAGGAUUAGAUCCCCUGGUAGUCCACGCCGUAAACGAUGAAUACUAGGUGUAGGGGGUAUCGACUCCCUCUGUGCCGCAGUUAACACAAUAAGUAUUCCGCCUGGGGAGUACGGCCGCAAGGUUGAAACUCAAAUGAAUUGACGGGG